UUCCACAGGUGACGCUCUUAGAAUUGCUGCCAGCCUCUGCUUCAGUGCUGACCCUGACGCAUCAGCCACCAUGUGUUGUUUCCUCACCGCCUCGUGGAUGGGCUCUUCAGAUCUCUUUCCAGGACCAAUCUCACCCCUGAUCAAAAUGUCCAAUUGCCACCUCAACUCUGUGGAUGGCCUUUCCUCUUCCUCUUUCAUCUUUCAAAUAUGCCCAAGACAUCCGCUGACAUCAGCCCAUGUGCCUGUCCACCCAUCCAUCUGACACACAGAUAGAGGCAGCCAUGGGAUGGAGAGCACAGCUCGGACGUCGGGCUGCCUGGCCCUGCCUCCUGGCUCCAGCACUUAUUAUCUCCAUACGCUUGGACUAUUUAUUUAGCUUCUUUAUUCUUUGGUUUCUGCAUGGAUGGAAUAUAAAAAUAAUGGAAGCGCCUUGGUGGAGUUGCUCUGAGAAUUAAAGAGCCCAGCUUCUAGCAAUGGUGUGAAGUGCUGAGAGGGAAGAGUGAAGCAGUUUUGCACUUCUACCUGGAGAUGGACGUUGACGGAAUGCUGGCAGGCCCCUCAUCCCGUAGUUGUGGGGGACGCUGGCUGAACUGCCCUCCCGUGGCCAGACUCUUCUGAAGCCACAUCACCUGGAGCUGGGUCCUGGGAAGUAAAUCAGGGAGUUCCCAGAGCUGCCUCGGCCCCUCCAGGCAACGCCAGUGGAUUUGACUGUGGGACUCAGCUCAUUGUCUCUGUCUCUCUCUUUUAACUUAAAUUCAAUUAGCCAACACAUAGAACAUCACUAGUUUCAGAUGGAUGCAGAGUUCAGUGACUCAUCAGCUGCAUCUACCACCCAGUGCUCAUCACAUCACGUGCCCUCCUUCAUGCCCGUCCCCCAGUUACCCCCUCCUCCCAGCCACGUCCCCUCCAGUGACCCCCAGUUUCUUUCCCAUAGGUGAGUCUCUCAUGGUUUCCCUCCCUCUCUGUUCUCUGCCCAGCUCAUUCUCUCUUCAUCAGUCGCUGCCCCUUGCUACCUUUGCCAUCUGUCUGCACUUUGUCAUCCUUCGGGAACCCCUUACAGGAAGUCACUGUCUGUCGUCUGCUGCCGGAGAUACUGUGGGGCUUGCUGCAGGACCUCGGGCAGUGGCUGCUCCAAAAGUAAACAUUUGAUGUCUGGAUCAAGAACCAAGGGAUUUCAUUGUUAUCGUAGAAACUUCCAACCAUGCUCUGAGCAGACCAAGUCAAGAGGAAAAGGGAACUCAGGAGUAUACUGGUACCGCUGAUUUCAGGGCACAUCUGGAGGAAGACCGCUAAGCUUUUUUGUAAGAUAUCUGAACACUUUUGAGUAAAAUAUUAAACUUUUUGAUGUCUAAACAAAAUUAAAUAAAAUACAAUAAAAAAGCA
rnacentral:lncRNA from 12 species